AAAGUUGCUAAGCAACCAUCUAAGAAUAAGGCUGGAGAGUGAAGUGGGGUGUUCAGCUUAGAGAUCUAGGGAGAGGUGAAACAGAAAGGGUGAGCAUUAGCGCAAGAAAGAGAGGAGAGGGGGGGAAAAAGAAUGUAACCGCAGAAUCAUCGGUGUGAUCUUCACAGCCAAACGGAGAGGAGCCCUUCAUCUCACUAGCCAAGAGUCAAACAGCGAAUUGGGUGGUCGUAAUCCUCCUGCAGCCAAACCCUGCGACCUGCAGUUCCUCCCCUAGUGAGGCCUGUCAGGGGGGGAGCAUGUCUGACAUGUGGUCUCUGGAGAGGAUGCUGAACCGGACCACUCUCUCCACACAGAGGCUGCUCCACACACACAUCCUGGGUGUGGGACAGCAGUUUCUUCCUCCCAAGUCUUCCUCCACAAGCCCCAGCCAAGCCCCAGGGCUGGCCUCUCUCGCCCCCCAGUUGGAGAAGCCUGAUGUGGGGGCCACACAGAGAGAGUAUCCCUGGAUGGAAGAAAUUCUGGAAAAGGCUGAGAAGGAUAAAGGGAGUGCCCUGAAACAACAGGGGGAGGAGGAGAGAGAGAGGAGUGUUAGGGAGACGGAGCUACGAGUCCAACGGCAGUGUGAACAAGAGGCUCAGGAGGACCGAGAGGCUCUCCAGGAAAGACAUGCAGUGGAACUUUGCCGAAUGCAGACCAGGCAGUGGCAGCUGGAGCAGACUUUGUCCCGGGUCACAGGGGAGAAGAUGCGAUACGAAACAGAGUUUAAGAGAUUACAGUGUAGCUACAGACAGUUUGUGGAUCUGACCGAGUCCUCCCUCCACUCUGACUACCUGUUGAAGCUCCGUCACCUUGGUCGAGAGCCUGGAUACACUGAUGUGGGCGUUCAAACGGAUGAUGUCAUCAACGAGGGACACCUUCCCGGAUCAACUCAGUGAUGCAUCUUCCUGCUGCUCGAGGCAGGGGUACUGAGACACGUGCCUUUUGGAUCAGCUAAUUGUUUGCAAUCUUGAUCUGAACUAUUAGCUGUUAAAGUGUAACUCUGAUCUUAGAUCAGCACACAGGAACAUUAUCUGUCACCUUGGGCGUUCCAGUGGAGCUCCCAAAUGCCUCUGCUCUGUCAUCAGGAAUGUGUCCAUAUAGGGAAUGAAAAUUAUGCCACAAUGUAUUUAGAAAUAAAUCAGAUUUUCAAUUGAA
ensembl:lncRNA